UGAUCGUUCACAAAAAGGGGAAUCAAACCCCCGGAUCCCAUCCCCCUUCGAUCCGCCACUGAUUGUGAAUAUAAAUAUAAUUGUUACUUAAAAGUCAUAGACUAGUACGUACUAGCUCCGAGCACCUGUUUUGGGAUAUAUACAGCUAAUUAACCGUAAAUAACUGCGAGAUAAUGAAUAACAAGUUGAUAAUUGUCUAUUCUCUGCUAAUUAAUGUACCUGCAAUUCACCCUGAUUCAUUUGUGAGACCACCGACACUAAUAAUAUUACCUCAAAGUUAGAGGUUCUCCGUUACUGGGAACUUCAUAUCGGAUCCGAUCAAUUUAUUGGUUCCAUUCCCCCUAGUAAUAAUGAUCCAUUUGCAGUGACGAUGACAAUCAAAGUUUAGGGCAAGAAAUAUAGAAGAUAAAGAAAAAUAUAAACAAUUACAACUGUACAGUAGAAAUGAUCGGCAAAACAAGAUAAACAGAAGACAACAAGGCCUAAAUGGUGCAGAGACUUCUUGGUUUUCAUGAUCAUCAACAGAUCAAUACAGAAGAGGAAACUUAAGGUUAAUACUUUUCUACAUUGUGUGCUAAUUGGAUUAAUGUGAAAUGAAAUGUGUGCUUACCUGGAAAAAGAAAAUAGGAAAUUUCUACAAAAUGGCUGUAAACAAAAUGGAGUUCAAUCAUAGAUGCACAAGAACACAAUUGUGUAAUUGCAACAACCUACACUGAAGGAUUAGGGAGAAAUGUAGAAAAAAUAGUAUUUUUUUGUCGAAAUAAACACCUGCUUUAUCCAUUCAUGUACAUAGCUCUGUCAUAUCAACUAUAUAGAGGAAGAUGUUUGAAGAACAAAUUGCAAAAAUGUAUUCUCUACCAAUUGAAGGAAGAUGUCUGGUGGAUGGAAUUAUUUAUGCACUGAACUGUUUUUAGGGG